AUUGAACGCUGGCGGCAGGCCUAACACAUGCGAGUCGAGCGGAUGAAGGGAGCUUGCUCCUGGAUUCAGCGGCGGACGGGUGAGUAAUGCCUAGGAAUCUGCCUGGUAGUGGGGGAUAACGUCCGGAAACGGGCGCUAAUACCGCAUACGUCCUGAGGGAGAAAGUGGGGGAUCUUCGGACCUCACGCUAUCAGAUGAGCCUAGGUCGGAUUAGCUAGUUGGUGGGGUAAAGGCCUACCAAGGCGACGAUCCGUAACUGGUCUGAGAGGAUGAUCAGUCACACUGGAACUGAGACACGGUCCAGACUCCUACGGGAGGCAGCAGUGGGGAAUAUUGGACAAUGGGCGAAAGCCUGAUCCAGCCAUGCCGCGUGUGUGAAGAAGGUCUUCGGAUUGUAAAGCACUUUAAGUUAGGAGGAAGGGCAGUAAGUUAAUACCUUGCUGUUUUGACGUUACCAACAGAAUAAGCACCGGCUAACUUCGUG
rnacentral:rRNA from 1 species